GGGAGGGCAGAGCGGCGGUGUCUGCAAAGGUCAAAGGUCACGGGGUGACCCCAAAAGGUCGUGGGGUCCCUAAAGGUCGUGGGGUGUCCUUAGAGGUCACGUUAAGGACAUGUCAGUGACACGCUAAGGACACGGCAGGGAAACAACAAGAACACGCUAAGGACACGUCAAGGACAUGUUAGUGACACGCCAAGGACAUGUUAAGGAUACGUCAGGGACACGCCAAGGACAUAUUGGGAACACGUCAAGGACACGGUAGUGACAUGCUAGUGACAUGUCAUGGACAUGACAAGGACAUGUUACUGACAUGACAAGGACACGUUAAGGACAUGUUAGUGACACGUCAAGGACACGUUAGUGACACGUCAAGGACAUGUUAGGGACACGUCAAAGACAUGGUACAGACGAGACAAGGACACGUUAAGGACACAUCAAGAACACGUCAAAGACAUGUUAGUGACACGUCAGGAACACGUCAAGGACACGCUAGUGGCAUGUUAAAGACACGUCAAUGACACGCCAGUGACCCUUUGGGACACUUUGGGAAGCCCGUGGCGACGCGUUAAGGAACAUGUCAAGGUCAUAUCAGUGACAUGUCAGGAACACGCCAAGGACACGCGAGCGACACGUCAGUGACACGUCAACGACAUGCCAGUGACCCGCCGGGGACCCUUGAAGGACCCCACGUUGUCACCCCGCCACCCUGCCGGCUCCCAGCCGGCUCCGGCGCGGCGCACACGCCAAGCACACGCCAAGCACACGCCAAGCACACGCGUGUCACAGGAAGUAAUCGGCCACAGGCUUCUUGGAGGGGAUCCCACGCGUCUCCUGCGGCGCCGCCUCGAAGAUGAUGAACUCCUUCUGCAGGUGCUCGUCCAGCUCCAAGAUGGCCGCCACGUUCCCGCACCUGCCCCACACAACAUUGCCACCCCAUAACGACCCCAUAGGGACACACAGGGACCCCACAGGGACCCCAUAGAGACACAGACCCAUAGGGACCCCAUAGAGACCCCAUAGGGACACAGACCCAUAGGGACUCCAUAGGGACCCCAUAGGGACCCACAGAGCUCCAAGACGGCCGCCACGUUCCCACACCUGCCCCACACACCAUUGCCACCCCAUAACGACCCCAUAGGGACCCAUAGAGACCCCAUAGGGACCCACAGAGCUCCAAGAUGGCCGCCACGUUCCCGCACCAGCCCCACACAGCAUUGCCAUCCCAUAACGACCCCAUAGGGACCCAUAGAGACCCCAUAGGGACACAGGGACACAGACCCAUAGGGACCCCAUAGGGACCCACAGAAUUCCACAGAGACCCAUAGAGAGCCAUAAGGACCCAUAGGGACCCCAUAAGGACGCCAUAGGGACCCAUAGAGACCCCAUAGUGACACAGACCCAUAGAAACCCACAGAAACCUCAUAGAGACCCAUAGAGAGUCAUAAUGACCCAUAGGGACCCAUAGGGACCCCACAGGGACACAGACCCAUAGGGAUACAUAGAGACCCCAUAAGGAUGCCAUAGGAACCCCAUAGGGACACAGACCCAUAAGGACCCAUUGAGACCCCAGAGAGACCUCACAGGGACCCCAUAGGACCCAUAGGGACCCCACAGAGACCCCAUACGGACCCCAUAGGGACACACACCCAUACGAAACCCACAGCCCCCCAUAGAGACCCCAU
ensembl:lncRNA